CCCUUAGAUGUUCUGGGCCGCACGCGUGCUACACUGAGUGGAUCAGCGGGUCAGGUUGCGCGAAAGCGUUUCCUAAUCUUUAAAUCCGCUCGUGAUGGGGAUUGACGGUUGCAAUUUUCUGUCAUGAACGAGGAAUACCUUGUAAGCGCGGGUCAUCAUCCCGCGCUGAAUACGUCCCUGCCCUUUGUACACACCGCCCGUCGCUCCUACCGAUUGGAUGGUCCGGUGAACUGGUCGGACUGAUAAUUGUCACUGCGGGUGCAGUAGCAUUACGGAAAGUCCGGUGAACCUUAUCAUCUAGAGGAAGGAGAAGUCGUAACA
rnacentral:rRNA from 1 species